rnacentral:lncRNA from 1 species
GCCCGCCCCACCGCCGCCCGGGCCAGCCUCUGAGUCACUCCGGAGCAGAUGCCGCCGGCUGCAGCCUCGCCUGUCUGCGCGCCGCCGGGAGAAGGUGGGAACCUCGGAGACCUGCGAAGGCCCCCCCUGCAGACCCCCAGCAAUGAACAUCCUGGCCCCCGUGCGGAGGGACCGGGUCAUUGGUGAGCUGCCCCAAUGCUUCAGCAAGGAGGCCUCUCUGCACAGCAGGACUUCCUUCCAUCCCAAAGUGGUGGGCACAUGCCAGGCCCAGCGGACGGGCACCGUGGGGUAAGUAGAUGCCCUCCCUGGACGAGGGCUGCUGCAGAGUUUAAGGAAAGGCAGGCUGGGCUGGCUUGUUUUGAGGAGGGGGGGAGGCUGAGCUGCU